rnacentral:rRNA from 1 species
GACGAACGCUGGCGGCGUGCUUAACACAUGCAAGUCGAACGGAAAGGCCCUGCUUUUGUGGGGUGCUCGAGUGGCGAACGGGUGAGUAACACGUGAGUAACCUGCCCUUGACUUUGGGAUAACUUCAGGAAACUGGGGCUAAUACCGGAUAGGAGCUCCUGCUGCAUGGUGGGGGUUGGAAAGUUUCGGCGGUUGGGGAUGGACUCGCGGCUUAUCAGCUUGUUGGUGGGGUAGUGGCUUACCAAGGCUUUGACGGGUAGCCGGCCUGAGAGGGUGACCGGCCACAUUGGGACUGAGAUACGGCCCAGACUCCUACGGGAGGCAGCAGUGGGGAAUAUUGCACAAUGGGCGGAAGCCUGAUGCAGCAACGCCGCGUGCGGGAUGACGGCCUUCGGGUUGUAAACCGCUUUAGCCUGUGACGAAGCGUGAGUGACGGUAAUGGGUAAAGAAGCACCGGCUAACUACGU